ensembl:lncRNA
GUAGCCUGGUGGUUAGAGUGUAGAGGAGGCAGGUAGCCUAGUGGUUAGAGUGUAGAGGAGGCAGGUAGCCUAGUGGUUAGAGUGUAGAGGUGGCAGGGUGGCCUAGUGGUUAGAGUGUAGAGGAGGCAGGUAGCCUAGUGGUUAGAGUGGAGGGGAGGCAGGUAGCCUAGUGGUUAGAGUGUAGAGGAGGCAGGUAGCCUAGUGGUUAGAGUGUAGGGGAGGCAGGUAGCCUAGUGGUUAGAGUGUAGAGGAGGCAGGUAGCCUAGUGGUUAGAGUGUAGGGGAGGCAGGUAGCCUAGUGGUUAGAGUGGAGGGGCGGCAGGUAGCCUAGUGGUUAGAGUGGAGGGGAGGCCUAGUGGUUAGAGUGUAAAGGCGGCAGGUAGCCUAGUGGUUAGAGUGGAGGGGAGGCAGGGUAGCCUAGUGGUUAGAGAGGAGGGGUGGCAGGUAGCCUAGUGGUUAGAGUGGAGGGGUGGCAGGUAGCCUAGUGGUUAGAGUGGAGGGGUGGCAGGUAGCCUAGUGGUUAGAGUGUAGGGGCGGCAGGUAGCCUAGUGGUUAGAGUGUAGAGGAGGCAGGUAGCCUAGUGGUUAGAGUGUAGAGGCGGCAGGUAGCCUAGUGGUUAGAGUGUAGAGGAGGCAGGUAGCCUAGUGGUUAGAGUGUAGGGGCGGCAGGUAGCCUAGUGGUUAGAGUGUAGAGGUGGCAGGUAGCCUAGUGGUUAGAGUGUAGAGGUGGCAGGUAGCCUAGUGGUUAGAGUGUAGAGGAGGCAGGUAGCCUAGUGGUUAGAGUGGAGAGGAGGCAGGUA